ACGAGUCUCGAUGCUACUAUUGAUAUAGGGGCACGAGAUACGUUAGUCAUUAGCUACGGAUGGCGUGCACUUUUCCCUCAGUAAUACAUCGCGACCUGUUUGAUGCCGGUCUAAGCGCCGUACAAGCGGGUAGUGACGAGCGCCGACCGGGCAACAGACUGUAUAAAAUGAAUCGCGCACGCGUAUCUAGCGCGUCCGGUGCGACGCAAAGUACGUUGUAUCCUUUAUCCGCCAAAGUGCGGACGGUCAUACGACUUGUAUGUCGCCGUCGUGCAAUCUCGGACCUGUGUGCGUCUCAGUCAGCGAUGGAUCAGUUUCAGGCACUCGCAGGA
rnacentral:rRNA from 1 species